UUCUUUCACAGUUGAGGUACGACUUCUCCGGUCUUGGAAGGCGAGGAACGUGAAAAGCUUUGGCAAGUUGAUGGGUGUGGCGACUUAUUACGUUCUUUAAACUCAUGAUCAUUAAAAUUAUUCCAGCGUUUUAACUUAAAUUAUCAAGCUAUUGUGUUCAUAUCUUUAUUGAACCUCUUUUGAAUGAGAAAAGUUGGUUGAUUACCUUUCUAUCUUCUUCUCUCUCAGUAUAGAUCAACAUCAAACCGGAGUCAUCACCAACACGAGUUACGCCGGAGCAGGAUCCAGUGUCGGUCGUUGCGAACCGAAGAUCUUGAACAUCAUGUGAUGUUGGACGAGGAUUUAGUAGACCGUUCUUGAGUCAGGUGACAGAGACCGCUCCUGGGAUUCUAGACUUCUCACUUCAGUGGAAAUAAUACAAAGAGAUGAUGGAGUUGGUGGUGGAAUCUGUAAGGAAACAAUCUUUGGAGCUGCAGGAGAAAAAAAAGAUUCUGAUUUGAAACAGCCUUUGGAAGCACAAUUAAUGAGAGAAAUCACACCUCUUUAUUGGCAUGAAGCUUUAACGUUUUCAUUUAAACAGGAAAGCACAACUAUCUUGGAGGUGAUAUGCCUUCUGCCACAUGUAUCAACUGCAACUUCUCAGAUGGUGAAAAAACAGCUACUGUUCAGAUCACCGGAGGUGGCGACAACCUCUCAAACCACCCUGGUGCAUCGGAUCCAACAGCCGCUGCAGAGCAGCCCACUUCUGACGGAAGCAAUGCAGAGGAACGACUGGUUCCAGCAGCAGGAAAUGCACUAAAAAGCACGCACGGAUUAGUUGCUUAAGUGAUGGAACUGAAGACCCUAAUAUUUACUUGAACCAUCUUUGACGUUAUGAUAUUUUUUCUUCAAGUUUUAUGACUUUUCUACCAUGUUUAGUUUACUCCAUCAAGUUUAAUUAUGAUAUAUGAACCAUGUUCGCUUCUUCUUCCAUAAAUAAUAUACAUCUUUUAUUCC